UACACUCCUGCGGGAGGCAGCAGUGGGGAAUAUUGGACAAUGGGCGCAAGCCUGAUCCAGCCAUGCCGCGUGAGUGAUGAAGGCCCUAGGGUUGUAAAGCUCUUCCACCGGUGAAGAUAAUGACGGUAACCGGAGAAGAAGCCCCGGCUAACUUCGUGCCAGCAGCCGCGGUAAUACGAAGGGGGCUAGCGUUGUUCGGAUUUACUGGGCGUAAAGCGCACGUAGGCGGACUAUUAAGUCAGGGGUGAAAUCCCGGGGCUCAACCCCGGAACUGCCUUUGAUACUGGUAGUCUUGAGUUCGAGAGAGGUGAGUGGAAUUCCGAGUGUAGAGGUGAAAUUCGUAGAUAUUCGGAGGAACACCAGUGGCGAAGGCGGCUCACUGGCUCGAUACUGACGCUGAGGUGCGAAAGCGUGGGGAGCAAACAGGAUUAGAUACCCCUGUAGUCCCAUGA
rnacentral:rRNA from 1 species